rnacentral:misc_RNA from 1 species
AACGCACCUUGCGCCCUUUGGUAUUCCGAAGGGCACGCCUGUUUGAGUGUCGUGAAAUUCUCAACCCUGCGCUUUUCUUGUGAAAGCGCGUGGGCUUGGACUUGGAGGCUUUGCUGGUCCUCGCGGAUCGGCUCCUCUCAAAUGCAUUAGCGAGACCCUUGUGGUGCCGCCCCCGGUGUGAUAAUUGUCUACGCCGUGGGUACACCGCGAUUGUGGGGGACCUGCUUCCAACCGUCGAAAGACAAACUUCAUCGAAACUUGACCUCAAAUCAGGCGGGACUACCCGCUGAACUUAA